AUACGAGUUUACCCCACUGAAUAAGCUGCUCCCUGAGUGAGAGGGAGAGGCACAAGAUUACCAUUGAACAAGCUGCUCCAUUAGACAUGAUUGAAACAAUAAAAUAAUGAAAUAUUGUAACAAUCUGCAUCUUUGGGAUUUAGAUGUACACACACAUAAUGUAGUUUUAUUUUUUCUGCACCAAAUGACAGAUAUUCCAAACAUAAUCUCUUGUUGGAGAACUAAUUCAUAAUUUCCAGUCAUAUGAGUUUUCCCCUAGUGGUAUUCCUGAUGAAACUUGAUGUCUUACUUUUUGUAACCUUUAAUGUUGAAAAGUUGGUGUUCUUAUUCUGGUCUGCAUGUAAUCCUUCUGCUAUGGAUUGCAGUGUCCUGGUUGCUGAGAAACGUGUCAACUCACCGCUGCUGUUCUCUUGUUAUCUAUCCGUAUCGACCAAUAUCUGUUGUUUUGUAAAUAUGUUUGGUAUGAUUGGGUAGCGGGCUACUCGGUGCAGCCCAUCACAAUCUGUCAUGACGUGAUAAUUGCCAUUUGGAGGGCUGACGGCAAGACCUAUAAUAAAAACCUUAAUAGUUUGUAUGUUAUGUCUAUGUAACCUGGAUUCUACUAUUUCCUAAUCUUGUUGUGUGAUAUAUUUUGUAUAUGUUGUAAAUUAUUAUUUCAUGGAGAAUAUUGUGAAUUGCAAAUGUUGUAGAUACCUGCGGGCGGACGCAUAUUAAUUGAUAUAUGUAUGUACGCGAUUUUGGAAAUGCUUGUCUUUGGUGAAAGUUGCCAUUAUGAUCUGUGUAACAAGUUAUGCUAAAAAAUGUGUUGGUGAAACUUGGGUGGAAAGAAAGAGAUAAUGGGACUAAAUUGAAAUUGUGCCUAAAUCCAUGAUGAUUUUCGUGACGAAAAUAAUUUCCAUGUAGGCAGCCACGUCAUUCCAAUUUAUGAUUCAGAAAUCCUACAUGGCAUCGUCCGUCACGAAGGUUAGGGCCUGGUUUGGGCUGCGCGGGCCUCGGGCUAAUCCUUGACGGCCGAGAACCGUCAUGGACGACUUGAUGUCAAAUUAUGACGCGAUAUACAUGACGGAAUUCAAAUCUGUCAUGCAUGGCCACGCAUGACAGUUUUCGCCUGGUCUGUGACGGACAUGAACUGUCAUGUAUUAACAGGUUUCUUAUAGUGCUUUGAACAGCUAUAAAAUCUUCAGGUUCAGGUUCAAAGCACAAGAGUUCAGGGAUCUAGAUCAGGUCAACAACAAAUGAGAAACAACUGUCCGCAACAGGAUAUCAAACUUAUAUGCAUGCCCAAAUCAAACACAAUUAAAUUAUAUUCAGAUGGACCUUGAUUAGGCAUUCGCUACACUAAUCGGGUAUAGUGCUUGCUGUUCAUUAUUCUUGCUAUCAGCUAGAGAAAAUGGCCAGAGAGUUUCAGAUUUUAGUUAACUAAUCAUCAUCAUUAUAGUAUGAGCUUCUGGUUUUGCAAUGCAGUAGCCGUAUGUAAAGGUAGCCAAGAUGAGAUAAUGGGGAGGGAGGGGGCUGUGCGCAUGGACCGCUGGUACAGGUACGCUUUAUACGUUACUCAAAAAAAAAAUAACGCUUUAUACAUGUACCACGGUCCAGAAAUUUUUCGGCCACAACACGCAACAGCGGGCUGCUUUUGCGUUUCCGAGUGCAGAAAACAGAGAGGAGGGCGGCGGCUGGAGAAGGAGAUCGAGAGGACGGCGAUGCUUAGCAGCGCCGGUGGCGAUUACCCAUGGAUCCGGUGUGCAGGUUGCCAAUCUUCAUCGAUGGGGUUGUCCCCGCUGGCUCGGAUCUGAACGACGGGAGCGAGGCCGGUAGUGGCGGUCCAGUAGGCGUGCGGGAGUCGUCUGUGGCUGCGUACUUCAAUGGCGGCGACCCCGCCCGGAACGAUGCGAACAGUCUAGUCAGUCAGGCGAGUCUGCGAUCAAACCAUAUCCGCGACCACCCGGCUGAAUCUUCAGCGUGUUUGGUUGGAGAGUUAGCGUGGUUGCGAGCGCCAUGCGCUAGCAGAAUGGGUGCUCUGGAGAAAAUGAUAAGAGGAUUUGCAGAGAGGGAUGGCGAAGAAGUGAUCAAGCUGGAGCUGGGCAACACCUUCAACUCACUGACAAAGGCAUACCACUGCUACAAUUUGUAUUCCUGGGAGCACAGAUUGAUACUCACUCCGUCCCAAAAUGUAAGAUCAUUUUUUAUCAUUUUUGUCAUAUGAUAGUGUAAAAGUGUUAAAAAUGAUCUUACAUUUUGGGAUGGAUGGAGUAUCAGAUAUGGAAAGAGCCGGCUCAAUCCUGAGAAGUGGAAGACAAUGCAGGAAAUUGUUUGUGGACGCUCGGGGAAACCUUUGCAUGAGAACAGGUGCGGGUGUACAUGAGGUUGUAGUUUGAUCGCCAGUCCGAUGAGAGCUACGAGGAGAAAAGAACCAAGAUUGGUGGCGACGUCCUCAAAACGAACUCGUCAAUUGAAAUACAUGCCAGCAAGGUGUACACUCGGGCGAGCAAUUCGGCCAAAUUUUGUACUAGUUGGGUGGGUAUCGGGUCGAACAGGCUGAGAACAAUGAAUUAUACAGGGCAACACACACUCGGCCUGAAAAGAAGGGAGAAAUUGAGCAGGGUUGUUUUCCUGGUGAAGAUGAUUGACAAUUGAGCAGAAUCUGAAUGUGAAUGUGGUAUGUUCGAACAUAUGGGCAUGUUAUGCUGUCAUGUUCUUAAGAUUAUGGACUAUCGUGGCAUGACAGAGAUACCAGAAAGGCACAUUGUAAAAAGGUGGACAAGGGAUGUGAGGGAUGUUUUGCCAGAUCACCUUCAGCAUUACCAGGGAGACCAGCUCUGUGCCACCGCGCUAACAUUCAGGCAUACAAGAAUGUACGUCAAGGCACUAGAGCUGGUUAAGCUCGAAGAUGUGAGUGUGGAAGCGUAUGAAAGACUGAUGAGUCUGUUCGAGCAAGCCAUUGUUGUGAUGACGCCAUUUGAGCAUGCCAGGGAUGGGCUUGGGCUCGAGGACCGUGCUACCAAUAAGCAAGCCACCAAGGUAGCUGAGCAGGCAGUAACUGUUGACAGCGCACACGACAGGAUGUCAGGGCACAGCAACCUCCUUCGUGAUUGGGAGCACCCCUGAAGAUGAGGACUGCAGGGAGGCCUAUGAACACGAGGGACAAGACGCUGUAUAUGAAGGCCUGAGCAAAGAGGAGUAGAUUCUGUAGCAUCUGCAAAACGCAGGGUCGUAAGAGAACAACAUGCCCGCAGCAAGGAGACGCUCCUAAAACGCAGAUGAAGGAAGCAAAGUGCAGCAACCUAUUGAUACGGACGAUGGGAUGAGAGGUAAUCGGACAUGACAGAGGUAAUCGGAUAUAUCGACAGAAUGAAAAAUCGGCGAGCCGUGCCAUGCCAACCGAACCAACUGAAAAACCAGAGUUUGGGGAGACAAGUACCCGGUUUAAUUAUUAUUAUUAGGGGAGAUAUAAGUGCCCCUAUGCUUUAAUACAUGUUCAACACAA